GCUGGGCGUGGUGGUGCACGCCUGUAAUUCCAGCUACUUAGGAGGCUGAGGCAGGAUAAUGGCUUGAACCUAGGAGGUGGAAGUUGCAGUGAGCCGAGAUCAAGCCACUGUACUCCAGCCUGGGUGACAAAGCAAGACUCUGUCUCAA
ensembl:misc_RNA Metazoa_SRP Metazoan signal recognition particle RNA